AGCGGGAUAGAGCAGAUGGAAGCUCGUCGGGCUCAUAACCCGAAGGACGUUGGUUCGAAUCCAACUCCCGCAA
rnacentral:tRNA from 1 species